CAGUGUCUGGCAGGUGCUUCCUACAGAUCUAUUGAUGAAGACCGGACAGACACAAGAAGCUCUAGUUCGGGAAGAAGAAUAAUGCACUGUGUACCUAUUGCAAGCCAGACACUGUUCUAAGUUCAUUUAAUACUCACAACAACCCUGUGAGGCAAGUGCUAUUGCCACCCUCAGUUUACAGCUAAGGAAACUGAAGAACAGAGUGGUUAAGUAACUUACACGAGGCCUCUCAGCUACGAAAUAGUAAAGCCAGGAUGGAUUUGAAUCUGGAGCCUCUGCUCUUAACCAGUAUACCUAUUGCCUUUCAAACUAACAGAAAUGAGACCAAGAGCUAAAUUUCAAGGUUAGAGGCAUCAGCAUCAAACAGACUGGAUGCAAACAUUGGCUCUGACCUUGACCUUACUCAACUAAGCUGAGCCUCAAUUUUUUCAAAUGUGAAAUGGACAUUAUAAUAAUAUUUGCCUCAUCUUUCAUAUGGUUGAUUUUAAAACUCUAUGGAUCUGUUGUAAUCAUAACGGCAAGGCCUGUGUGCCGUGACCUUGUGAAUCUUUCAGAUUUGAACUGCUGCUGCCAACCCUAAUCUCAACCCUGUGAGAAAUGACAUUCACAGAGGAUUGCCUGGAGUGUAUUUAAUGUAUCUCUUCCUAUAGAUUUUUGACGGAACCAGACCAUCAACGCCUGUGCUCUUGGAACUCUGACCUUCCCUAAUGAACCUUGUUUUCGUCUGCCUGGCAUCCCUUCCUGUGACACAUAUUGUCCCACUCCAUAUGGUCCCUACAGAGCUGCCAAUCAGAGUGCCCGGCCCCACCUCCAUCACAGGUGUGGGUACCUGACUGCUGGCAAAAAUGCCCCACUCGCCUGGCCACAAGGGUGGCCACAGAACUCAAGGUUCUUCCUUCAUCCCAACAUUGAGAUUUUCCACUGUUUUACCUCAUGAAAGUUUAGAGCCUCAGAUCAUCAGUUUUCCUUUGACCUAUGGCAUGAAUUAUUUAGACAAUAUGUUUUAAUUUUCAAACCUAUAGAUUUUUUGUUUUUACUGAUUAACUUUAUUAUUCUAUUUAGAGAAAGUGAUUUAUAUAAAUGCCAAUUCUUUGAACUUUAUUUAGGCUUGCUUUCUGUACUAGCAUGUGUCAGUUGUUAUAAAACAUAUCUUGGGUGCUUGAAAAUAAUGUUUUCCUAAAUUAAUUGGUGAAAAGUUCUAUGGAAGUCACUAAUUAUUGUGAUGUUCAAAUCACUAAUAUUUUUAUGAAUUUUUUUGUUUUCUAUCUACUUGGUCUGUAAAUCUCCCAUUAUAAUGAUGGAUAAGUCAAUUUCUCCAUGUUAUUCUAAUUUUUGCUAUCUUUUGAAGGCGUGUUAGUAGGUAUUUGCAAGUCUGGAAUUGUUAAAUCUUCCUGUGAAAUUAAUUUUGUAGCAAUAUGUGUAACUCUCUUUAUGAUUAGUAUAAUUUUUAAACUUAAAGCCUAUUUCAUCUGUUAUCAGUCUGGCUGCACCAGCUUUCUUUCAAUAAAA